AGCACGGAGUGCGGGACUCGUGGCCACCUCCCACCCGUGUCUCUCUCUACCUGUUGCUUUGGCGGGCCCACCGGGGCCACCCGGUCGCCGGGGGACGUCCGUCUCCGGGCCCGCGCCCGCCGAAGCGCUCUGUGAACCCUGAUGAAGAUGGGCUGUCUGAGUCGCAUGAAAAUUGUCAAAACUUUCAACAAUGGAUCUCUUGGUUCCGGCAUCGAUGAAGAACGCAGCGAAAUGCGAUAAGUAAUGUGAAUUGCAGAAUUCCGUGAAUCAUCGAAUCUUUGAACGCACAUUGCGCCCCCUGGCAUUCCGGGGGGCAUGCCUGUCCGAGCGUCAUUUCUGCCCUCAAGCCCGGCUUGUGUGUUGGGCGUGGUCCCCCCGGGGACCUGCCCGAAAGGCAGCGGCGACGUCCGUCCGGUCCUCGAGCGUAUGGGGCUUUGUCACUCGCUCGGGACGGAUCGGCGGAGGUUGGUCACCACCACAGUUUUACCACGGUUGACCUCGGAUCAGGUAGGAGUUACCCGCUGAACUUAAGCAUAUCAAUAAGCGGAAGAA
rnacentral:rRNA from 1 species